UGAAAAUCUUUAAAGAUAAUAUGCAUAUACAUACACAAUCUUUGAACAUGAAACAUUAUUAUUAUUUUUUAAAAUUUAAUCUGUCACGCUAUACAAAUAUUUUUGACAAUAUAAAAAAUAUUUAACCAGUAAAAAGUUAGCUUCGGCGCCCCGAAGUUUAUGUACCCGAACAAUGCAUCGCUCACUUGUAAGCAUUCUUUUUGGUAAGCUCCGAGUAGUCUACUUACCAAGAAUACCCAUGGCCAGUACCGUAUUCUGCCAUCUAAAUGACAUAGUUAUUUAGGUGUCCGAUUUGGACAUGGAAAAAAAACGAUACUCAGUCAGUAUAAAUGUUAUCUUUUGAUUUAUGUAACUUCUUCUAUAUUGGCAUUUCCAUGAUGUCGAACGGGACAAGUGCUAGGAGGUAAAAAUAAGACGGAUUUUCAAGAUGUACUGCAUUGAUGUUUUUUAAAAAUGGUUAUAAUUUAAUGCAAAUAUGAUUUAUAGUUUUUUUUAAAAUUAAUUUAAACUUCUGUCGCUCGGGACUAGUAAAAGUUAAAAAAUAUGCCGUUAACCGAUAUUAAGCAAAUAAAAAUACCACAAAAUACCGAAAAAGUGAACACUUGCUUAUUUUAAAAGGUUUUCAGAUCAAAGUAAAUCAAUUUAUAUGUCACUUGAUUAAAUUAAUUAAAUUUCAAAAGUAUAUGAAAUUGGGUUUAUAUUAUUUUUUAAUAAUUUGGUAUUCCAUGGGAAUAGCUUCACAAAUUCAAAACUAUUUUUGAGACAUUUCGAGUCUUCCAAUUAUAACAAGUGAGAUGACUUUUUGGAUAGAAUGCCCAUACUCAAAGAGUGUGUAAAUAUUAGAUUUAUGGUGAAAGUGGAUGUGUGUAACACCCAGAAGGAAGCGUUUCCGACCCGAUAAUCAGCAUUAAUAGCCGAGUCGAUAUAAUCAUGUCUGUAUGUCCGAUCGUCCGGCUAUUCGUCUGUCUUCAGGAGCGUCUAUAUCUCAAAGACUAUGAGAGCUAGAGCCACCAAAUUUUGUAUUCAGACUCCUGUGUUAUCACAGUGUAACCAGGGUAUUUCACAAUUUCCCUUUUUCUUUUUUUCAAAAAAGCAGUCCUGUGUCUGAAUAAAAUUAAUCUAAACAGAUAAAAAAUUUAAAUUUAAAAAGUGUUGAUGAUUGGUGUGAGCGGUAACAUGCUCUAAGAAAAAGAAGCUUCUCUCGACGACAACAGUCGUUGUUGCUCUUCUAUGGAAAGGGUAGGAACUGAGUGUCUGCAGGGACGCGACGAUGAUUAAUGGUUUAAAAACGAGAAUAUAUGUAGGUUCGUCUAGCCUGUUCCGAAGCUGGCUUUAACGGUUUGGCGACAACACCUCAUCGCUCCUGUAAAAGCACAGAAUAGAGCUCUUGAUGACGAUCAUCAUCAAAAUGCAGAACUACAUGUUCAUCUAUCGUAUCGUAUCCGUCGUACGUAGGCAUAUGUAUAUCUUAAUGAGUGCAGUGGUUGCAUUGGAUUUCUGCCAUCUGAUGAAAACCUUGGCAAUUGAAUAAGGCUAAGAGACGGGUCCGGUCUUCGCCAAGGUGGAAGCUGCCCACAAGCCAUAUUAGCAUUGGUUAUUCCCCCAGAAACCGUAGAAGGAGGAAACAGGUGAGGGAAACGACUACCGACUUCACGCCGAAUCGAAGCAUUCAGCGUCAUGAAACGAUAAUCAAAGUUGUCGCACGAUCCACUGCGAGUCUUGUCGUAGUCCAACUCCUAGAGCUCUUUGCGCAGGAUUUUAAAUGUGCCCCGCAACUUCUCGAUUUCCUCUAGGAGUCAAACAGACCGACAUGGCUAUCUCGACUGGGGUAUUGAGUACUUGGCGACCCCAUAAAGUAUAUAUAUCAAGAAUAUCAGCAUCAUAUAUUAAUUGUAUUUUGUAUUUUUGAUUAUAAAAUAAUAUCACUGAUACAAAUUAUGUUGUUUGCUGUUACUGAUAGAGCAACUUACACAGGAAAAUCUACAAUGACUUAAAAAAAAAAAAAAAAAAA